rnacentral:rRNA from 1 species
AUUGAACGCUGGCGGCAUGCCUUACACAUGCAAGUCGAACGGUAACAGGUCUUCGGAUGCUGACGAGUGGCGAACGGGUGAGUAAUACAUCGGAACGUGCCCGAUCGUGGGGGAUAACGGAGCGAAAGCUUUGCUAAUACCGCAUACGAUCUACGGAUGAAAGCAGGGGACCGCAAGGCCUUGCGCGGACGGAGCGGCCGAUGGCAGAUUAGGUAGUUGGUGGGAUAAAAGCUUACCAAGCCGACGAUCUGUAGCUGGUCUGAGAGGACGACCAGCCACACUGGGACUGAGACACGGCCCAGACUCCUACGGGAGGCAGCAGUGGGGAAUUUUGGACAAUGGGCGAAAGCCUGAUCCAGCCAUGCCGCGUGCAGAAUGAAGGCCUUCGGGUUGUAAACUGCUUUUGUACGGAACGAAAAGACUCUUUCUAAUAAAGAGGGUCCAUGACGGUACCGUAAGAAUAAGCACCGGCUAACUACGUG